UACAGAGGGGGCAAGCGUUAUUCGGAAUUAUUGGGCGUAAAGGGCGCGUAGGCGGCUUUGCAAGUGACGGGUGAAAGCCCUCGGCUUAACCGAGGAACUGCCUGUCAGACUGUGAGGCUUGAGACCGGGAGAGGUGAGUGGAAUUCCCAGUGUAGCGGUGAAAUGCGUAGAUAUCGGAAGGAACAUCAGUGGCGAAAGCGACUUCCUGGACCAGUACCGACGUUCAGGCACGAAAGCGUGGGGAGCAAACAGG
rnacentral:rRNA from 1 species